rnacentral:rRNA from 1 species
CGUCUAGGCGGAUCGGUCAGUCGGCUGUGAAAUCCCUCGGCUUAACCGAGGAACGGCAACCGAUACUACCGGUCUUGAGGACGAGAGGGGAGAGUGGAACUCCUGGUGGAGCGGUGAAAUGCGUAGAUAUCAGGAGGAACGCCGGUGGCGAAAGCGACUCUCUGGCUCGUACCUGACGCUGAAGCGCGAAAGCUAGGGGAGCGAACG